UUGUGCCAGCAGCCGCGGUAAUACGUAGGGCGCAAGCGUUAUCCGGAAUUAUUGGGCGUAAAGAGCUCGCAGGCGGUUUGUCGCGUCUGCCGUGAAAGUCCGGGGCUUAACUCCGGAUCUGCGGUGGGUACGGGCAGACUAGAGUGCAGUAGGGGAGACUGGAAUUCCUGGUGUAGCGGUGAAAUGCGCAGAUAUCAGGAGGAACACCGAUGGCGAAGGCAGGUCUCUGGGCUGUAACUGACGCUGAGGAGCGAAAGCAUGGGGGAGCGAACAGGAUUAGAUACCCUGGUAGUCCAUGCCGUAAACGUUGGGCACUAGGUGUGGGGGACAUUCCACGUUUUCCGCGCCGUAGCUAACGCAUUAAGUGCCCCGCCUGGGGAGUACGGCCGCAAGGCUAAAACUCAAAGGAAUUGACGGGGGCCCGCACAAGCGGCGGAGCAUGCGGAUUAAUUCGAUGCAACGCGAAGAACCUUACCAAGGCUUGACAUGAACCGGAAUGAUGCAGAGAUGUGUCAGCCACUUGUGGCCGGGUUUACAGGUGGUGCAUGGUUGUCGUCAGCUCGUGUCGUGAGAUGUUGGGUUAAGUCCCGCAACGAGCGCAACCCUCGUUCAAUGUGCCAGCGGGUUAUGCCGGGGACUCAUGGAGACUGCCGGGUCAACUCGGAAGAAGGUGGGGACGACGUCAAUCAUCAUGCCCCUUAUGUCUUGGGCUUCACGCAUGCUACAUGGCCGGUACAAAGGUUGCGAUACUGUGAGUGGAGCUUAUUCCUAAAAGCGGCUCAGUUCGGAUUGAGGUCUGCAACUCGACCUCAUGAAGGUGGAGUCGCUAG
rnacentral:rRNA from 1 species